GGUUGGGUGGGCAAAGAUGCCUGCUUUCAAGAAAUUUGAUUUCCGGGGUGGGAAAUU
rnacentral:ncRNA from 12 species